GGGCAGCAGGACGGUAGCAAUACCGUUGCUGGCGACCGGCAAACGGGUGCGGAACACGUACACAACCUUCCUUUAAGUGGGGAAUAGGCCGGGGAAACCCGGGUUAAUACCCCGUAACAUAUAGAAGUGGCAUCACUUUUAUAUUAUAGCUCCGGCGCUUAAAGAUGGGUGUGCGGCUGAUUAGAUAGUUGGCGGGGUAACGGCCCACCAAGUCGACGAUCAGUAACUGGUGUGAGAGCACGACCAGUCACACGGGCACUGAGACACGGGCCCGACUCCUACGGGAGGCAGCAGUAAGGAAUAUUGGUCAAUGGACGCAAGUCUGAACCAGCCAUGCCGCGUGGAGGAUGAAGGUCCUCUGGAUUGUAAACUUCUUUUAUUUGGGAAGAAAUCUAUCUUUUCUUGGAUAGUUGACGGUACCAGAUGAAUAAGCACCGGCUAACUCCGUGCCAGCAGCCGCGGUAAUACGGAGGGUGCAAGCGUUAUCCGGAUUCACUGGGUUUAAAGGGUGCGUAGGUGGGCAGGUAAGUCAGUGGUGAAAUCUCCGGGCUUAACCCGGAAACUGCCAUUGAUACUAUCUGUCUUGAAUACCCUGGAGGUGAGCGGAAUAUGUCAUGUAGCGGUGAAUGCUUAGAUAUGACAUAGAACACCCAUUGCGAAGGCAGCUCACUACGGGACUAUUGACACUGAGGCACGAAAGCGUGGGGAUCAAACAGGAUUAUAUACCCUGGUAGU
rnacentral:rRNA from 1 species